rnacentral:rRNA from 1 species
CCCUUAGAUGGUCUGGGCGGCACGCGCGCUACAAUGAUGCAUUCAAAAAGUCUUCUGACCUUAGAAGGUUGGGUAUUCUCCAAAGUGCAUCGUGAUGGGAAUAGUUUAUUGCAAUUUUUAAUCUUGAACGAGGAAUUCCUAGUAAGUACAGGUCAUCAACUUGUGUUGAUUACGUCCCUGCCCUUUGUGCACACCGCCCGUCGCUCCUACUGAUUGAGUGUCUCGGUGAAUUCUUUGAUCUUCUGUCGAUUCAGUUCACUGAUCCGACGGUGGAAAGUUGAAUGAACUUCGUCACUUAGAGGAAGGAGAAGUCGUAACA